GAUGGACGCUGGCGGCGUGCCUAAUACAUGCAAGUCGAGCGAACAGACGAGGAGCUUGCUCCUCUGACGUUAGCGGCGGACGGGUGAGUAACACGUGGAUAACCUACCUAUAAGACUGGGAUAACUUCGGGAAACCGGAGCUAAUACCGGAUAAUAUAUUGAACCGCAUGGUUCAAUAGUGAAAGACGGUUUUGCUGUCACUUAUAGAUGGAUCCGCGCCGCAUUAGCUAGUUGGUAAGGUAACGGCUUACCAAGGCAACGAUGCGUAGCCGACCUGAGAGGGUGAUCGGCCACACUGGAACUGAGACACGGUCCAGACUCCUACGGGAGGCAGCAGUAGGGAAUCUUCCGCAAUGGGCGAAAGCCUGACGGAGCAACGCCGCGUGAAUGAUGAAGGUCUUCGGAUCGUAAAACUCUGUUAUUAGGGAAGAACAAAUGUGUAAGUAACUAUGCACGUCUUGACGGUACCUAAUCAGAAAGCCACGGCUAACUACGUG
rnacentral:rRNA from 1 species